rnacentral:rRNA from 1 species
GACGAACGCUGGCGGCGUGCCUAAUACAUGCAAGUAGAACGCUGAAGAGAGGAGCUUGCUCUUCUUGGAUGAGUUGCGAACGGGUGAGUAACGCGUAGGUAACCUGCCUUGUAGCGGGGGAUAACUAUUGGAAACGAUAGCUAAUACCGCAUAACAAUAGGUGACACAUGUCAUUUAUUUGAAAGGGGCAAUUGCUCCACUACAAGAUGGACCUGCGUUGUAUUAGCUAGUAGGUGAGGUAACGGCUCACCUAGGCGACGAUACAUAGCCGACCUGAGAGGGUGAUCGGCCACACUGGGACUGAGACACGGCCCAGACUCCUACGGGAGGCAGCAGUAGGGAAUCUUCGGCAAGGGGGGCAACCCUGACCGAGCAACGCCGCGUGAGUGAAGAAGGGUUUCGGAUCGUAAAGCUCUGUUGUAAGUCAAGAACGAGUGUGAGAGUGGAAAGUUCACACUGUGACGGUAGCUUACCAGAAAGGGACGGCUAACUACGUG